GCCCUGUGGUGUAAGCAUGCUAGAGUGCAAAUCUAGAGACGAACACCUAAAGGCGUUCCAGGGCU
rnacentral:tRNA from 1 species